UGGAUGCGUCGAAUCAAAAAAAAAAAAAAAAAAAAAAAAAAAAAAAAAAAAAAAAA
rnacentral:ribozyme from 13 species